rnacentral:rRNA from 1 species
AUUGAACGCUGGCGGAAUGCUUUACACAUGCAAGUCGAGCGGCAGCGCGGGGCAACCUGGCGGCGAGCGGCGAACGGGUGAGUAAUGCAUCGGAACAUGUCCAUGUCGUGGGGGAUAGCCCGGCGAAAGCCGGAUUAAUACCGCAUAAGCCCGAGAGGGGAAAGUGGGGACCGCAAGGCCUCACGCGAUUGGGUUGGCCGAUGUCCGAUUAGCUAGUUGGCGGGGUAAGAGCCCACCAAGGCGAUGAUCGGUAGCUGGUCUGAGAGGAUGAUCAGCCACACUGGGACUGAGACACGGCCCAGACUCCUACGGGAGGCAGCAGUGGGGAAUUUGGACAAUGGGGGCAACCCUGAUCCAGCCAUUCCGCGUGAGUGAAGAAGGCCUGGUGUAAG